AGCUAUAUAGUCUAGAUGGUUUGUCCACUCACUAGUAAUAUUGUCCAGUCUCCGAAGGUUGAGGGUUCAAUUCCCUCUGCAGCCA